ACCUGGCCAGCUCAGUUGGUAGAGCAUAUGACUCUUGAUCUCAGGUUUGUGAGUUCAAGCCCCACGUUGGGCA
rfam:Ailuropoda melanoleuca scaffold2088_7, whole genome shotgun sequence.